rnacentral:rRNA from 1 species
GUGUCAGCAGCCGCGGUAAUACGUAGGGUGCAAGCGUUGUCCGGAAUUACUGGGUGUAAAGGGUCCGCAGGCGGGCAAGCAAGUCGGUGGUGAAAGCUCACGGCUCAACCGUGAAAUUGCCUUCGAUACUGCUUGUCUUGAGUUCGGGAAAGGAUGAUGGAAUUCAUGGUGUAGCGGUGAAAUGCGUAGAGAUCAUGAAGAACACCAGUAGCGAAGGCGGUCAUCUGGCCCGAAACUGACGCUCAGGGACGAAAGCGUGGGUAGCAAACAGGAUUAGAAACCCCCGUAGUCC